UAAUACGGAGGGGGCUAGCGUUGUUCGGAAUUACUGGGCAUAAAGCGCGCGUAGGCGGAUCUGCAAGUCGGGGGUGGAAUCCCGAGGCUCAACCUCGGAACUGCCUUCGAUACUGCGGGUCUCGAGUCCGGGAGAGGUGAGUGGAAUUCCUAGUGUAGAGGUGAAAUUCGUAGAUAUUAGGAAGAACACCAGUGGCGAAGGCGGCUCACUGGCCCGGUACUGACGCUGAGGCGCGAAAGCGUGGGAAGCAAACAGGAUUAGAUACCCUGGUAAUCCACGCCGUAAACUAUGGGUGCUAGCCGUCGGUCGGCAUGCCGGUCGGUGGCGCAGCAAACGCAUUAAGCACCCCGCCUGGGGAGUACGGUCGCAAGAUUA
rnacentral:rRNA from 1 species